AUGGGACUGCUGCGGACCACCAAGAAAAAGCCGCGAGACCUCUGCUUCCCCCAAAACACCCUCGCCUCCCCAGAAAUACCCUCACCAACCCCACUGCCAGGUCACCCGGGUUGUCCCAUCCUGGGAUGCUGGCUGGUCCAGAGGGGCCCGGGGCCAAGCACUUGUGGUUGCCCCACGGCGAGGUUCACCCCACAGCCGAGGUCUGCCCCAAACUGGGGUUCAUCCCACCGCUACCGCCCUCAGCCGGGGCUACGGGGUGAGCCUCGCACCCCAGAAAACAGCUCGGGGGGGGGGGGGGGGGCGGCUGCCAACGCGGCCCAGCCUUUAGCCAUCCCCCACCGCCGGGCCCGGCACCUCCGCUCCCUCCUCACCCCCAGCCCCUCGAAGGGGGCCCUAUUCCCCUCCGGGCCGCCCCCCGCCGGGGAUAUGUCCGCACCCCCCUCCCGUAUACACGGUGUCCGUGAGGGCGCGGAGCGGCGGCUGCGAGGCGGCCCAGGCCGCGGCGGCCGCCCCCGGGUGCUGGCCCCGGUGCUGGCGGGGCGGCGGCGGGGCCCGACAUGGCGGCGCGGGCCCGCUCUCCCGCUCCCCGCCCCGCCAGGCCCCGUCGGGCCGCGGCGCUCACCUGCAUCCGGCGCGGCGGGGCGGCGGGGCCGGCGGCGGCAGGGCGGCGGGGCGGCGGGGCGGCGGGCAGCAACGACAUGCAGGCGGCGGCCCGCCGGGGAGCGGUGCCGGGCCGGGGACGGAGCCGCGGGGGCCGGGGCGGCCGGGGCGGCGGCGGCGGCGGCGGCGGUGGCGGGGAGGAGCGGGCCGGGGCUCGGGCGGCGCGAAGGGCGGAGGAGACGGAGGAGGAGGCGGGGAGGAAGGCGGGCGGUGCCGAGGCCGUGGCGGGGGGGGGACCUCGGGCACAUGCCGGGCCCUGUCACCGCCCGCAGCCGGUGUCAACACCUGCCCCGGGCGGGGAACGAGGCGCCACCGGCCUCGGGGGACACACCACCGGGCCGGGAGGACACCAACGAGCCGGGGAGGAGGGGACGGGACACCGGCAGGUCCCCGAAACGCCCAAGGAGGGGAAGACACCCCAUUUUUACCUCAGGAUUUUGUUGGCGACAGCUCUGCGGAGCGGGAGCCAAGGAGGCAGUUGUCAUGGGGAGCCCCCCCCCCUUCCUGGGGUGA
rnacentral:lncRNA from 1 species